UACGUAGGAUGCAAGCGUUGUCCGGAAUUAUUGGGCGUAAAGAGCGCGCAGGCGGUAACUCAAGUCAGAUGUGAAAUAUCCGGGCUUAACCCGGAGGGGUCAUUUGAAACUGAGUAACUAGAGUACAGCAGAGGAUAGCGGAAUUCCCGGUGUAGUGGUGAAAUGCGUAGAUAUCGGGAGGAACACCAGUGGCGAAGGCGGCUAUCUGGGCUGAUACUGACGCUGAGGCGCGAAAGCUAGGGGAGCAAACAGG
rnacentral:rRNA from 1 species